GCGUGAGCGAUGAAGGCCUUAGGGUUGUAAAGCUCUUUUACCCGGGAUGAUAAUGACAGUACCGGGAGAAUAAGCCCCGGCUAACUCCGUGCCAGCAGCCGCGGUAAUACGGAGGGGGCUAGCGUUGUUCGGAAUUACUGGGCGUAAAGCGCACGUAGGCGGCUAUUCAAGUCAGAGGUGAAAGCCCGGGGCUCAACCCCGGAAUUGCCUUUGAAACUAGAUAGCUUGAAUCACGGAGAGGUGGGUGGAAUUCCGAGUGUAGAGGUGAAAUUCGU
rnacentral:rRNA from 1 species